CCAAGGAGUCUAACAUGCGCGCGAGUCAUUGGGACGAGCAAGCCUAAAGGCGCAAUGAAAGUGAAGGUACGGCCAAGCGCCUGCCGAGGGAGGAUGGGCCGCGUCACGAUGCGGCCCCGCACUCCCGGGGCGUCUCGUUCUCAUUGCGAGAAGAGGCGCACCCAGAGCGUACACGUUGGGACCCGAAAGAUGGUGAACUAUGCCUGGUCAGGACGAAGUCAGGGGAAACCCUGAUGGAGGUCCGUAGCGAUUCUGACGUGCAAAUCGAUCGUCGGAACUGGGUAUAGGGGCGAAAGACUAAUCGAACCAUCUAGUAGCUGGUUCCCUCCGAAGUUUCCCUCAGGAUAGCUGGCACUCGCGUACAAAAUGUACAAGAGUCUCAUCCGGUAAAGCGAAUGAUUAGAGGCCUUGGGGCCGAAACGACCUCAACCUAUUCUCAAACUUUAAAUGGGUGAGAUCUCUGGCUUGCUUGAACUAUGAAGCCACGAGAUCUCGGAUCAGAGUGCCCAGUGGGCCACUUUU
rnacentral:rRNA from 1 species